rnacentral:rRNA from 1 species
AUUGAACGCUGGCGGCAGGCCUAACACAUGCAAGUCGAGCGGCAGCGGGAAAGUAGCUUGCUACUUUUGCCGGCGAGCGGCGGACGGGUGAGUAAUGCCUGGGAAAUUGCCCAGUCGAGGGGGAUAACAGUUGGAAACGACUGCUAAUACCGCAUACGCCCUACGGGGGAAAGCAGGGGACCUUCGGGCCUUGCGCGAUUGGAUAUGCCCAGGUGGGAUUAGCUUGUUGGUGAGGUAAUGGCUCACCAAGGCGACGAUCCCUAGCUGGUCUGAGAGGAUGAUCAGCCACACUGGAACUGAGACACGGUCCAGACUCCUACGGGAGGCAGCAGUGGGGAAUAUUGCACAAUGGGGGAAACCCUGAUGCAGCCAUGCCGCGUGUGUGAAGAAGGCCUUCGGGUUGUAAAGCACUUUCAGCGAGGAGGAAAGGUUGAUGCCUAAUACGUAUCAGCUG